rnacentral:rRNA from 1 species
AGGAAAAGAAACCAACAGGGAUUGCCCUAGUAACGGCGAGUGAAGCGGCAACAGCUCAAAUUUGAAAUCUGGCGUCUUCGGCGUCCGAGUUGUAAUUUGCAGAGGGCGCUUUGGCAUUGGCAGCGGUCCAAGUUCCUUGGAACAGGACGUCACAGAGGGUGAGAAUCCCGUACGUGGUCGCUAGCCUUUACCGUGUAAAGCCCCUUCGACGAGUCGAGUUGUUUGGGAAUGCAGCUCUAAAUGGGAGGUAAAUUUCUUCUAAAGCUAAAUACUGGCCAGAGACCGAUAGCGCACAAGUAGAGUGAUCGAAAGAUGAAAAGCACUUUGGAAAGAGAGUUAAAAAGCACGUGAAAUUGUUGAAAGGGAAGCGCUUGCAGCCAGACUUGCCUGUAGUUGCUCAUCCGGGUUUCUACCCGGUGCACUCUUUUAUAGGCAGGCCAGCAUCAGUUUGGGCGGUCGGAUAAAGGUCUCUGUCAUGUACCUCCUCUCGGGGAGAACUUAUAGGGGAGACGACAUGCAACCAGCCCGGGGUGAGGUCCGCGCAUCUGCUAGGAUGCUGGCGUAAUGGCUGUAAGCGGCCCGUCUUGAAACACGGACCAAGGAGUCUAACAUCUAUGCGAGUGUUUGGGUGUCAAGCCCGAACGCGUAAUGAAAGUGAACGGAGGUGGGAACCUUUCGGGGUGCACCAUCGACCGAUCCUGAUGUCUUCGGAUGGAUUUGAGUAAGAGCAUAGCUGUUGGGACCCGAAAGAUGGUGAACUAUGCUUGAAUAGGGUGAAGCCAGAGGAAACUCUGGUGGAGGCUCGCAGCGGUUCUGACGUGCAAAUCGAU